UGGACAAAUUUCCUCCAGACCCUCCAGCGGUCAACCUUCCAAGUAUCCUCCAGACUCCUUCAGCGGACAAACUUCCACAAUACCUUUCACAUUUUGCUAUCGAUCGACCUUCUACCAGAUUUCUUAUGCAACCAGACCUCUCCAGCAGACAGUCUUCAGACAAGCUUCUACAUCAGAUAAAUUUCUGACAAACUUCUCUAGCAAUCAGAUUCCAGUCGGAUU
rnacentral:lncRNA from 1 species